GAACAGGAAUAAUGCCCACAGCCUGUCUUAUGGCACAAAAUGCAGGCAGGGAAGACAAGAAAUCAGCUCACCCGCGCUAAGCCCUGGGGACUGCUCGGCCAGGUGGUCUGGUUGGAAUUCAAGGAGGAUGUGUGGACACCAGACAGUGACCAGAGGUGCCCAGGAGGCCUCAGCUUCCCACUCUGGAGCCUGCCCGUUUGAUCAGAGGGCAGCGAAGGCAGCUUUGACCUUGCCGGGCAGCUUUGACCUCGCCGCACCUUCCUGAGCGCCGCUGGGGAAGUUCCGCAUGGAGAACCGGCCCCCACCUGCUGCCGUCUGAGAGCCGCGGGCCCCGCCAGGCCGCCCGUGCCGCUGCUGGACGAGUCUAAGUACCGGAAGUUCCUUCCUUAUGUCACAGCCCAGCACAAAUUUGAGGUGUAGACAGUGAAGAUGAUGCAUAGGUAGGUGACAGACAGACAGACGACAAUGAAUAGGUAAGUGCUGCAGAAAUGACCUCCCUGUGGCUGUGACCUUGUGUCGUGGUGACUCUCAGCCGGGCAGACAUACGGCACUCAGUGGAAGCACUGCUUGCUGGGGAACUAAGUACUCAGACCAAGGGCUCCAUGUUCUGGGACCUAACGCACCCCGAGGACAGCACUUUGAGAACCUGGUGGAGACUGGCUGGCACCCCUCUCACGGCUCUCCCCAGCCCCGCUCCCUGGGCCCCCGAC